UUUUCGCACUCUGGAGAGCGGCAGUAGCCGCGUGCGCGCAACGCGACGCACGGGCAGGCUGCCCACCGAAGGGGCGCGCGCGAGCCGGAUCGAAACCGUCGCGCAAUCUCUCAGGUAUCGAGGACAGAGGGGCAUGC
rnacentral:ncRNA from 2 species